AUUGAACGCUGGCGGCAGGCCUACCACAUGCAAGUCGAGCGGAUGAGAAGAGCUUGCUCUUCGAUUCAGCGGCGGACGGGUGAGUAAUGCCUAGGAAUCUGCCUGGUAGUGGGGGACAACGUUUCGAAAGGAACGCUAAUACCGCAUACGUCCUACGGGAGAAAGCAGGGGACCUUCGGGCCUUGCGCUAUCAGAUGAGCCUAGGUCGGAUUAGCUAGUUGGUGAGGUAAUGGCUCACCAAGGCGACGAUCCGUAACUGGUCUGAGAGGAUGAUCAGUCACACUGGAACUGAGACACGGUCCAGACUCCUACGGGAGGCAGCAGUGGGGAAUAUUGGACAAUGGGCGAAAGCCUGAUCCAGCCAUGCCGCGUGUGUGAAAAAGGUCUUCGGAUUGUAAAGCACUUUAAGUUGGGAGGAAGGGCAGUAAGUUAAUACCUUGCUGUUUUGACGUUACCGACAGAAUAAGCACCGGCUAACUCUGUGCCAGCCGCCGCAGUAACAC
rnacentral:rRNA from 1 species